AGUAAGUAACCUUUUUUGGAACAUGUGUAUCGUUGGCUGGUUCGGAGAACGCUGUAAUUUAACGAUACACAUGUUCAAAAAAGGUUACUUACUG
rnacentral:pre_miRNA from 1 species